GUGUGUGUGUGUGUUGAUGAGUGAGGUGAUUAGUAGUGUGUGUGUGUGUGUGUGUGUGUGUGUUAAUGAGUGAGGUGAGUAGUAUUGUGUGUCUGUGUCUGUGUGUGUGUUGAUGAGUGAGGUGAUUAGUAGUGUGUGUGUGUGUGUGUUAAUGAGUGAGGUGAUUAGUAGUGUGUGUGUGUGUGUGUGUGUGUGUGUGUGUGUGUGUGUUAAUGAGUGAGGUGAGUAGUAUUGUGUGUCUGUGUCUGUGUGUGUGUUGAUGAGUGAGGUGAUUAGUAGUGUGUGUGUGUGUGUGUGUGUGUGUUAAUGAGUGAGGUGAGUAGUAUUGUGUGUCUGUGUCUGUGUGUGUGUUGAUGAGUGAGGUGAUUAGUAGUGUGUGUGUGUGUGUGUGUUAAUGAGUGAGGUGAGUAGUAUUGUGUGUGUGUGUGUGUGUGUGUGUGUGUGUGUGUGUGUGUGUGUGUGUGUGUGUUGAUGAGCAUGCUGGCAUCUGAGUGAUCGAA
ensembl:lncRNA